CAAGGCUCAGAGGUCAACUGGUCUGCCUGUGGUCACCCAGGGAAGUCUGGAGUCCCUCGCGGGACUGGCUGGCUGGCUUACUUCAUGACAACAUCAGGAAAGGUGUUGGCCCGAUGUCUUGGCAUCACGCCCAGCCAGGUUGACCCUGGAACUGACCACCACCAGUUUGACCAACCGGAUUUGGCACAGCCUGGUGAGGAGAAGUGGACUCUCCCCAGGGUCUCCAGAUGGGAGCCGAGCCCAGGGGUGGUGGCCUGGCUUGGGCACCUGGGCUCUGGCGGGCUAACUGCAGGUCAGAAGUGCGUCGUGUGUCCCAGAGGCCUGGUGGGGUGUCACAGGCAGAGCCUCCGUGACAGGCUGGCUGCCAGGACAGUGAGGGGCAGAUGCUGUGUAGCUGUCUGGACGUCGGCCCAGCCCCGUGCUCACUCCAAGGUGGGCUGGAGCUAUCUCCACACCAGCAGGACACAGGUCUCGGGACAGUGCUGCUAGUGAGGCCUGAUGGUCGCGUCUGCUGGGGAGACCUGGGGAGCAGCCGGGACCCUCCACCUAGGGCGGGCCCUUUCCUUCUCUUCCUCUUCUUGUGCGGCCCCAGGAAAGGAUUUCAUUUGACAGAGUUUCUGUUCAAGUUGUCAGUCAUGCCGAUCGCCUGGGAGAGGCAGCUGGACGCUGGUCCCCACCCGAGCACAGAGGAGAGGGGCUCAGACUGUGUGGUGGCCACACCCAGGUCCCAGGAGCCUGUGGUGCCUCCAGCACCCUGCUCCUGGUCUCCCAGACAGUGCCAAGAGAGGAGAUCUUGGUGCCGUGGGAGACUGCUGGCCUGUGGGUACAGGCUCUGAGCAGACCCUGAGAGCCACAGAACACGGAGGAGCCCUGGGGCGUCGCACCAGCCUCGAGAACUCAGAGGCCUCCCUUGACAAGACAGUAAAUCAGGGGGUAAAAAAGUAACCUGUGACUCUGGGCUUACGAAGUACCUGCUGCUUGAUGUGCACAAGUGUGUCCUUGUGAAUGUCACCCUCGACUGUCCCACCGGUGGUGAGUGUCACCUUCGCGCCUGCUAUUAUGGAUUGAGCAUCUGCUCAGGCCAGGGCCACUGUUCCCACCCGUCAACUCAUUUCCCCUUCCCACCAACCCCCUGAGGGGGGCCUUAUGGCCAGCACGAUUUCCAGACAAGGAACAGAGUCCAGAGAGAUCCAGAUGCUCGCCUGGAGAUGCACAGCCAGGAAGGGUCAGUACCACAGUCACCCCUCCCAGCCUGUCACCCUCUGGAGAGGACAUAGGCUCCUACGGCCUACACUCCUGCCAGCAGGUACGGUCACUCCUGGGCACCCAGCCCAUCCUGGCCUUGCACCUGCGCAGGGUGGCCCCCGGGUGGCUCACCGCACUGGGCCAGGCCCUCCUAGGGAGCCUCCCUAGCAGGAAGACAGUCCCACUUGCUGUCCUGACGCCUCUGUGUCUUCAGCAAGCCUCGGGAGAAAGUGUUUCCUCCUUGGGCUUCGAAGACACCGUGGGAAACAGCCCUCAGGCUUGGAGAAGUGAGGCUCGGCUGCCUUGGGAACGGCAGGGCUCUCCUCCACCUGCAGGCGCACCUCAGGGAGGCCCAGGGCGGAGCUCCCGGCCCAGCCCGGGGGUGCUGAGUGAGGCUGAGGGGCACAGGCUCAGAGCCAGGGAGCCCGAGCGCUCUGUCCACGUCCCCCAGAGGCUGGCCGCACAGCGGGCAGGAAGCACAGGCAGGUCCUCACGGCCCAAGGCAGUCUGAGGAAGUUCUGCUUUUUGUUUCAUCUGAUGGAACAAAAAUCCAGUGCCAGCCCUGACCUCAGGGCACGCGGCCCAGGAAGGGCCUGAUCCUUCUCCAAGUCCACAGAGAGACUGCCAGGAGAUGGCUCCAGGGACAGGAUCCCAAGACUCAGGAGACAGGGUCUCUCAUCAGACAUUCUGAACUCACAGAAUCAGAGACUUUGGAACAAGCAGCAGGGGACCCCAGGUCUGCCCGGCGGAUCAGGACCCCAGGCGCCCGGAGACUCCAUGCCGGAGCCUGGAUCGGCACAGGGCCCCGUGAUGGGCAGGCGCUUGACUGGGUGGGCUACAGCAAGAAGCUUGUCGGCCAAGACACAGAAGACGGUGUGCACAGGACCCCCAGCUCACAGCUUCACCUCCUGCCCGUCCUCCUUGGCACCUGGUCCUGUGUGGCUGGGAGCAGCUGUCAGCCUGGGAGAGACUCAAGAGCUUAGCUGCGCGGAUGGAGAUCCAGCGUGAACAGCCGUUAGCAUCUCCACCCCAGGGAUGCCACCGAAAUUGGGUGAUCAAUUUUUCAGUGACUUUAAUGGAAUAAUAUUUUCUUCUCCUUUGAAAUCAAUGUCUUCAAAACCACAGCUUUAGUUAGGUUAAAUAGUUACAGAAAGGGAGGCACAGGGUUAGUAAACACAGCGACGCAGGCUUUCUCCGGAAUCAAAGGUGUCAAAGAGCUGGGAGCCAUGGAUGGUUCUGUGCUCUCAGGAGAGAGCAGGGCUCACUCUCCCUUCAUUAAUCCCAGCCAGGAAGCACCGUGAGGGACUGUGAGCUGGGGAGGUGAGUGAGUGUGCUGUGUGAAUGUGGUUGUUCUACUCCACGGAGAGACGACGAAGCUGCUCUGCCUACAGGCAUCCACUGAGCACCCAUCGAGGCCUGAGCUUCCGCAGCUGGCCCCAUGGGUGCUGGGCCACCACGGAGGGCCUCUGGACCAGGACCUAUGUUCUGUUCCCUCACUGGCCGGAGGGGAGCGGGCAUUGUGAGUGCCACCUUCUGCAGGUGCCAACAGCCCUGCCCUGGAGAGCCUGGGCCCAGCCGGGUGCGCUUUGCACAGGGGCACUCCAGUCCCCGCAGGCCGAGGGAAGGUGGCCCAGUCAGGCUUAUCAUCAUGGUCGCUGUGGUUUGAGGGAGUCGGAAACCUCCUGGGCUCUCUCGAGGCCCUCUCACAGCCGGGGGGCAGGGACCGAGGGAGGCCCUGAGCAGUGCCUGGGCUGGGCUUCCAAAGCCGGUCGGAUCAGGGAGGGGGCACCUAAGUCGGGGAGGUGCUGGCCUCUGGCCACCCAGCCGAUCUCCUCUGAGCAGCAAGGGGGAUGAGCCCCCCAUGGAUGCCAGAGAGGCCCAGAGGUGACAGAGGACAUGACAGGUGUCACCUGGGGGAAUCCAGCAGGCCCAGCAGCAGCAGGGUCAGGGAAGGACGCUGGAGGAGCCCCGGAGGGCCAGUGGGGAAGGCUCCGGAGUGGGGGGCAGGGGCCCACCCUGCACGGCUCAGGGUAGGAUACCUACCCACAGCCCUGGCCCCACAGAGGGACAGAGAAGCCACCACUCUGAGACAGGCUGGGCGAGGCAGCGACCGCGCCCUCCCGAAGGCUGCAACUGGAUGUGCGUGCCGCCUGGACACCUGCACAUGGCUGACCCCGAGCAAACCUUCUACCUUGCUUUUUAUUUCCAAUUAAAAACAUAUUAUUCCCACCAGAGAAAUCGGAGGAAACAUCAGAAAAGCAAGGAGAGUAAAACCCUCUGCUCUCUCCUGUGCUGAGCAGUUGGGGGAUGUGGCAGCAUGGGUAGGGUCUUGCACACCCGUGACCUGAAUUCCAGGAGACUGGACCCCAGGGGCAGGUGUCAGGGACACCAAACCCUCAACUAAUGGUGCCCGCGCCACAGGUGGGCCGGGUCGCCACACGCUCCGUACAAGCUGUUGAUGUCAAUUACGCAGCAAAAGCGCGAAUCCCAAGGUGGACGCUCCCAGAAACCCACGCACAGACGGACAGGAGCACGGCCAGCCUCGCAGCUCCUCCAUCUCGCUCAGUGAAGGCGCGCUGGGCCACCAGGCGGGGGGCGGACCCCGGGUGAUUCUGCAGGCAGAGGGCACACUGCGGGUGACACCCAGGAGUCUCUGGGAGAGGCCAGGAGAGCUGAGGACUGGGGCCACCGUGACCUUUCUUCUCAGUCGACAGAGAAGGGGGUCAGGCUGAGAGAGGACAGUCCUGCCUGUCCAGCGUGGUCCCAGGCUGGUUGGGACGCCAGGGCAGCCGCUGUGCGCCAGGGAGAGGAGCCGCCGGGCCGCGCGCUGUUGGGGACCGUCAGGAAUUUUCUUGCCCGGAGGAGGAGCCGCCAGUCCUGGCAGCCGGCGAGGCAGAGACGGGAGGCGUUCCAAUGGGAAACGGCUGAGGAGCCCCUGGUGCCGGUCAGCCCAACAUGCCCGGGGCCAUCACUGGGCUGGACUCUGUCUCCCAAGAAGGCACAAGGAUCUGAGCCUCUGAGACACUGGCCUCAAGCCUGGCCCCUUCCGCCCUCUUCUGUCUUCCUCCGUCUCAGAUCAAGCUGCUCCCCCAAGGCAUUUCUGCUUCUCAGAUCUGCAAGAAGCCACCGGGUGGGCUGUUGCGGUGACCAGAGGGGUCCUGAGCACGCGUCCUACCACAACCUUCCUGGACAGCCAGGGGAGGCUCUGGGGGGAACUCAGCCAGCUUCGCCCACCCUGAGGGAGAGUUCCAGGCCUGCAGAUGGGGCCGGGAACAGGGUCGGGGUCCAGCCAACUGACCUCCCACAGAAGCAAGAUGGUGAAUGUGUGGGACUCUGGCCUGGGCCUUGGCAGCCUGAGCAUGGAGCCCUACUCUGCAGCCCUUCCCUGGCCUGGGUCCUUGGUGGGAAGCCGCGCAGCCGCUCCAACCCUCAGGUUCCCCUCUGUCAACAGGGACCAGGACGCUAGCGCUGCAGGAUGAGCGUGCGGUGCCGGCUGCACAGUGCAGCACCCACUGUCCCCGCUCUCUGGCGCCUCCCCGCGUGCCUCUGGCCUUUCUCUUUCUUUGUUGAAAGACCGCCACCUUCCAGAGCUCCGGGAUGGUGGAAAGCAAGGACUGGGAGGAGAGGGUGCUGAACCCCAGGGGCCAGGCCUGGGGCGUGCCCACAGAGGCAGGUAGCAGUGGGAAGGGCAGCGGCCUGGCACAUCUGCCCCAGGCCCCACCUGCCCAGCAGAGGCCCGAGCCAAGCCAUGUGUCUUACAGGUGGGUCUGGGUUUGGGGCACCCGUGGGCACCUCUGACUCUGUCCAGCUUGUGGCUGUGGACACUGGAGAGGUCAGCCUGGGCCAGUCCUUCACCACGUCCUCUCACAAGGGCUUCCAGCUCCCCAGAACCUAUCUCCUCUCCGCCCAGGGCUGGGAAGUGCCCCUUGCACUCUGACCGCAGGGCCUCCUCAGCCUGGCCCAGGGCGGCUGUCUUUCCUCAAACGCCCUUUGCAGCCAGAUGCCGAAGCGAGAUGACAUCCAGCAUGGGCUAAGACGUGAUCCUGACACAUUUAAAAUAACUUCUACUAAUUGGGCUCAUUGCUCAUCUUUUCCUACCACGUUCGUAAAUUGCGUUUAAUUGUUUUUGGAUUGAUUCUUUAAAAAUAAAUUUGUUACCUAGAGUCUUUUGGCGUGUCUGCCCACACCAGCGGCAGGCGGGGCCCCCGGGGGCCUGGGCACGUUUAUUUCUGCUGUGUUUUCUCUUGACUUUGGCAUUUGGGCUGUGCCUUGGUAGAGCCGGCAGUUUCUCGGGAAGUUGGAAAAUCUCCCUGAAUCAGACCAGGACCGCGCAGGAUGGGGGUCACUCCCAAGCCAAUGGCAGUGGCGGGCAGCAGACUACGAGGUGCUCCUGGGACACCCUGUGCCCUGCUCCCCCCUCCUCCAGCCUGCCUCCCACACCAGGGCUGCGGGAUCAGAGCGAGAGCAGAGGAAGGGCCAGUCAGCACUUCCAGCUGCCGGCAGAGGAAGAAGCGAGUUGGCAAAGCCGGGCACUCCACGAGGGGCCGCCUCCCCCAGCCAGCCUCGGCGCGCAGCCCGUCCAUCUCCUGGCUGCUGUCCUGGCCAUGCCGCCUCUGAGCGGGGAGGGGCUGAGCUGAGCCCAGGGCUGGGCCGGCCCAGGGGUCCGGAAAGAGCCCUCCCUCCUCACUGAGCCAAGCCCCUGUCCUCCGGUCCUCUCUGGGGCGCUCCUUCUCCCUCCUCCCUUCCAUCUUUAAUUAUUCAUCAACACCGGCUCUGUGCCGACACUCAGGGGCAGCCCCAGCCCCGGGGAGCCUGCAGAGAGCCACAACCUGGGGAGCACACGAUGGGGAGGGGCACAGACGGGGUGCCUGCAGAGCUGAAGUGACUGCUUAGCUGGACACCCCCGAGCAGCCAUCACAGAACUCAGGAGCAAGCCAGGGCUUCUGGGCACGAGAGUCUGUUACACGGCCUCCCUGUGCCCAGAGUUGACUACUGCGCGACGACACUCUCUCUGGAUCUUCAAAUCCAGCAAGGCUUGGCCAGCCCAUAAGGGGACAGAGGAACUGAGCACGCUGGCCGAGGGGGUGCCUGGCCCUGACCCAGGCUCCCAGCCCCCAGGCCCUGCUCUGGGCACACCUCGGCAUGCUGGUCAAGGCUGGGGGGGCCACUCUGUGUAGGCACGAUCCAAUCCUAGGGCCGUGCGGGUCUGGGUGCCCGGGGACAGGGGAAUGCAUCCCUGGGUCCCUCUAACGGGGCUACGCAGCAAGACCAGGGGGCGUCCUCGGGUACCCCAGUGGCCACGCCUGCCCCGACUCGUGUCUUACCUAGACCUCUUCUGAGGCCCGUAACCAUCCAUAAGCCCACAGGAGGUGCCCCUGCCGCACGGCACUGCCUUCUUCCCACCAGCCCCGCCUGUCCUCCCCGCCACCUUGCCUGUGGGUGGUCCCCACUCAGACCUGUGCCCAAGCACCUCCAGCCUUGGGUGGAAAUUCAUUUGGGGUCCAUGGGUCCCUCUGUGACACAGCAUCAGCUGUCACUCAGACCCCCAGGCCCACUGAGAACCCCAGAUGUCAGGAGUGGCCCAGGGGCUGUGUUCCCAGCCACACCCUGGAAGGCCCGACUGGGCAGCCAAGGGCUGUGUCUGACUUGAGCCCACAAAGUUGGGGGGCCCAGGCCCCAGCCGGCCAGGGAGCCACUGUUCAUCCAGUGACACUGGCCUCCUGCACCCUCAGCUCUGUGCCCAGAGGGCAUUGCGUCUCUCUGUCUUGGAGUGAAUAACAUGUACUCACUGUCCCCCGUCUUGGCUCCUUUGCCUGGAGAACCGGCUCCUCUGCGUCCUGAGACCCUGCCCAGCCCCUGGCGGGGGUCACAGGCCACGUGGACCCACAGAUCCCUGUCCCCCAUAACCCACCCCUGCCCCUGCCCUGGGGAACUAGGCUUACCCCAGGAGGUGACACCGGCUGCCCUGGGACGUGACGAACAGGACACCAAGAUGGCGGAUGGAGGCAGGGUGUUAGAAAGAAGCUCUGGAGGACAAGACAGGGGCCGGGAGUCCUGUCCCCGUCCACACUGAAUCCCAUCCAUGACAGCUCCCGUCCCUGAGGUCCUCACCAUGACAACCUCUGCUACAGUCCAGACUUUAAAAUGACCAAGGGGGGGUCAAGUGGUCAGUGUCCUAAUUAGGUUCUCUAAAGUAACCAGUGGGGGGAGUUGGAAAAUAUUCUAAUUAGGUAUCAUAAGAUAGCCAAUGGGUCAGGUCUCUAUCAGGUCCUUGUAGGGAAGGGAACGCCCGCGGCUCAGGAUAUAAGACUCUGACCGUCAGACCCGGCCCAGGGCCUCUCGCUGGCUGCUCUUGCCUCUACCCAUAUGUACCUUCCCACCUCUGCGCUCUGCUACCGCUGUGUGUCUUGCUCCAUUGUUUGUUCAGGACACCAAGGACAUCCCAACAGUCACACUGCCAUAGGCCUUUGGGCCCUUCCACUCCUGACAGUCCUGAAGGCCUGGUCCCCGUGGGGUUGAGAGCAGCAGGGUCUUACUCCCCCUAUAUUCUCCCUCAGGCUGCAAGAGCUUCCGCCAAACACACUCGCCCCUAGGGCCAACUCCAACUAGCCACAGGAAGGCCAGCAUCCUCGGGGCCUGGGUCUCCUUGGGUCCUCAGUAAACAUCAGUUGCUCUCUGUUUGCCAACCCCACCCCAACCAGGACUCGGGCUGGGCCAUGCUGCAGCUAAAGGACCAGCCGGCCCGACUCAGACCAGGCACAGGGCCCACCCUCUACCACCACAGGCCUGGAUGCUCCUCUCCUGAGUUGGGGGUUUGCAGCUGUAAAAAGGUUGAAGUUUUCUUCUCCUAACUUUUCAACACUCACCGAGAGAAGGCACAGGUCAUCAAUCCUCCUGUGUCCAAUGUAUCCACAUUGUAUAUGUUACCUGUCCGUUAGUCGCUUAGCAGUCGUCCUGCUUAUCAGAUGGAUGUCUUGGUGUCACAGGGUGUGCAUUGAAGUGACCCUUAUUUUGCUUAAACACUCUUGCUCCAGAAAGCAUUUAAGUUGGUUAUUAAUCUCAUACUGUGCCUAAUUUGGUAAUUAAAUGUUAUGAUACAGGAAAAAACACAACAUCCAU